ensembl:lncRNA
UGGAAGGGCUCUACAAGGGUUCUGAAAAUCCCCCUUUUCCAGAGGGCUUCAUUCCUUUGUGAAGGCUGCCCUCCCAGGCUAGAGUGCUCAGUUUGGCUCCAAUGAAAUUCUCUCCCCGUAACUCUUGCCGGAGAAGGAUUAUUGAUUACGUGUUUUGACACCAUAUGUAAGGGAGUUGGCUGAAAAUUAGAACAUUACAAUUCUGUUUCAAGAAAAAUAAACAGGCCAGGGCUGAGGAUGUAAGUCCAACAAACGUCACACCCUAUGGACAAAAGGUAAGCCCGUAUCUAGACGGAAUCUAUGGGAACGUUCAAGGAUCAGGGGUCAAGUUUGAAACUUCCCAAAUCCAGAAAAGAGACAGAAAAGUAUCUUUCCUGGAGACAGGAAUUCAUCAGAUUUGUCUAAUUUGUCUCGGAAAAUUAUGUCCAUGAAGGGGGUUGCCAGGACCACCUCGAAUUUGGAGUUUCUGAUCUCUGGAUGUCAAACCAACCCAGAGGAUGACGGGUUCUCUGUGCUUGCUUUGAACUAGUCUAGGAUAGCAAAGAGUCCUACAAGUGACCGGUGCAAAUUCAAAGACAACAACCAAGAAUCACGAAAACACUCACACCUCGGCCUAGAGAACAUACAGUGAUUAAAGAAAUGCAAAAUUAAUCACUUGGAAUGAAGGAGAACGGAUAGCGAAGCAUAUCUAAGGGAGAUAGCUGAGAAUGACCAUGACGCGUAUGCUGUGGAAAAGAAGUAAAUGUCCCAGAAAUGGAAUGCGAACAGAAAUCCCACAUGAAUAAUCCACAAUGAAAGAUGUCAGUCUUUACACAGACUCUGCUUGGAUGUUUGAUAGAGAAAUUCACAAGCCAACAAAUGACAGCAAAGGUCAAACCUGUUCUAACUAGGAAGGACGAGUCAUGAGACUGCUACAAAGCGGCCUCUGAAAACGUGUGUCCAUGAAGCUUGCCGGGACAGCAGAGACACAAUUAUGACAAAUACUCUGACAUCACAGUGGACCCGAAAAACAACCUGGCCACAGCUAGACAGUGCCAGAGUUGGGCUCAAGUGGCAUAUUCAAAUCCCAUUGCACUUAACUGCAGCUUGCCAGCGGAACAUGAAAGGGGCCCGCCAGUGGGGCAGGGGUGGGUUCCACACCUUCUGGGUCGGUGGUCCAGGGUGGGCCAGGUGGAAUCCUGGGGGUGAGCCUGCUCACCACUGCUUCAGUCGUUCUGGUGCAGGCGUCCGAGGUACUGUAGAGGCAGAUGGGAAGGAACGUUAGACAGGGCCAGACUUCCACAGCCAAUACAGGAGCAUUGCCAGCAGAGGUGAGAACAGCGAUGCACUACUGCCAAAACAAAACCAAUUAACAGUUGCAAAGAAUAGGAAAACUGAAGCUCCAAAAAAUAAGAAAACAGCUUGCCACUGAGAAGAAUAAGAUCUCUAUGAAGAACCCUAGCGAAAGUGGUGAAAAUUAUGUUAAUUCGAAAACUAGCAAACUUUUGGGGAAAGAAAUUCAUGAAGACACAAAGAAAAAGAAGGAGAUUCCUGGAUCCAGGGUUGGAAGAAUGAACACACUUGAAACGUCCAUACCGGAGAAAGGAAUCUCUGGAUUGCAUGCAAUCCCAGUCAAAGUUGUGGCAAUAUGUGCCAUAGAGAUAGAAGAGAGAAUCCUAAAGUUUCUAACCAGCAACAAGAGACCCUGAAGAGGCAAAGGAUUCCUCAGGAAAAUGAACAAAGCAGAACGUGUCACAAUUUCUGAUUUCAACAUAUAGGACGAAGCGCUAGGUACCGAAACGGCAAAGUCUUGGCCCCAAAACAGGCACACAGACCCAUGCAACAGAAUCGACAGCCCAGAGCCCAACUCAAACGUACAUGGACAGCCCAUUUUCGACCAGGGAGCCAAGAGGAGACAGUGGAGAAAGGAGAGUCUCUACAAGAAACGGUGCUGGGCAGCCUGCACAGCCACAUGGAGCACAACGAGACAACACCAUGAUGUUACACGUGGCACACACACCACCUGAAAUGGAUUAAAGCCCUGAAUGGCAGACUUGAAACGGGGAAACUUGUAGGAGAAGACCUAGGCAGAGUGCUCUUUGCCAUCUGUCUGAGCCACCUAUUUGGAAGAAGCAUGCCUGACUGGGAAAUGGCAACAAAGGAAACAAGAAACAAACGGGACCACAUCAAAUGCACACGCUUCUGCCCAGUCAAGGAAACCAUCGACUCUAUGCAAACACAGAACAACAACUGGGAGAGGAUGUUUGCAAAGCACACAUUGGACACGGGGUGAAAAGCCCAAAGAUACAAUCAACUCACACGCCUCAACAAGAAAAAAAACAGCAAGCCAAUGAAAACCUGGACAAAAGAUGGAAACAGAGAUUUCUCCCAAGAAGAUCUAAAGAGGGCCAACAGGUGCAUGAAAACUUGUUCGCCAUCAUCAAGUCUCAGGCCAAUUCAAAUCCAAACUGUGAGGACAUAGCAGCUCACUGUGGUCAGAAUGGCUGUAAGGAACCAGACAGGAAACAACAAGUGUCAGAGAGGAGGUGGAGAGAAGGGAAGCCUCCUGCACUGCUGGUGGGAGUGCAAACUGGUGCAGCCAGAACGCCAAGCGGUGUGGAACAGCCUCACAAAUUUAAUAAUCCAUGUCCCAUACGAUCCAGCUAUUCCUCUGUGGCGUGUUUAUUCAAAGAACUCGGAAGCACUACCGCAUAAAGACAUGUGCAACGCUGAGUUCACCACAGCCUUACUCCCGCUAUCCAACACUUGGAAGCUGCCCUGGUGCCCAGCAAGGGACGAAUGGAAAAAGAAGAUGGGUUAUAGCCACUCAAUGGCAUACCACUCAGCCGGAACAAAGGAUGCAAUCCAGCCAUUUGUGACCACCAGAAUGGUUGUGAGGGUUAUAGGGGAAGGGACACAAGCUCCA